UACAGAGGUCUCAAGCGUUGUUCGGAUUCAUUGGGCGUAAAGGGUGCGUAGGUGGCGCUGUAAGUCGGGUGUGAAAUUUCGGAGCUUAACUCCGAAACUGCAUUCGAUACUGCGGUGCUUGAGGACUGGAGAGGAGACUGGAAUUCAUGGUGUAGCGGUGAAAUGCGUAGAGAUCAUGAGGAACACCGAUGGCGAAGGCAGGUCUCUGGGCCAUAACUGACGCUGAGAAGCGAAAGCAUGGGGAGCGAACAGG
rnacentral:rRNA from 1 species